UCCCCCUUCUUUCCACACAACUUGUCAGCAUUAUGGCUACACCAGCUGAAGAAGUGUUGAUUAAGGCCAUCUACCCCAGUCUAUGUAUGUCCUUAAAUGCAG